CAUUCCGUUGAUUGGUUGACAUGAGAUGAUAUUGGACUUGUGCUCAUUUAUUAAUUAACAGGUGACACCAGCGCGCCUACCUUUAUAAAUCAAUCCCCUACUGUCUCGUUAAAAGGAAUCAGUUCUGGCUGUUGAUUCCAAUGAGGACUAGGUCACAGUUGAGCAGCAGGUGACCAAUGCUUAUAACUGCUUCAUUUAUGGAAAGCUUUGGGAAAAAAAACCUUCCUCAUCCUUUGAGUUUGUCAAACAAUUUGGUUUAUGCAAGUACAUUUUUACCUACCUUUACCCCUUAUUUCUCUGCCAUUUUUAAAACCUACUAUGUAAAGGCAGUAUAUGUAACCUGGAAUUGGCAUGUGUUUUAAACGUAGCCGUUGUGAAUAUGACGACGAAGAGCCGACUGGCCCAUUUGAGAUGCUACCCCGUGUGGUUCAUACUAGGCCUACACCCUUUGAGUAAAAGGGUCAUUUUAUUCUUCAGACCGAUUCCUCAAAAGAGUCCCAGUCUUUAUCAGCAACAACAUGGUGACGGCUCAGAUCUUCUGGGAGAGGCUGUGGAUGAUACUGUGACGUGCAGAGUACUGGACAGAUGCAAGGAACAAAAGCACAUUUUCUCAAGACUCUUUCUCUGACUGGUUCCCUUUUGAAGAUGGUGUACGACUCCACGUUGACUCUCCCCAGAGAGCUGCAGAACCAUCGUCUCCAUCUUGGUCUCCAUGGUCGCCAGCAUCGCCGGGAUGGGGGGAAAGUGCAACAGCUGCUCGGCGCGAGGGUUCCGGAACCAAGGCCCAGGUUGCCACGGCAGCUGGGGUUCUGUUCCCGAUUUGCCGGGGUGCUGAGUCUGGUGUCUCUCAGCUGGACAGCUCCGUGUCAUCACUGACUUCUAUAAUCCUCUGGAACACCAGGGAUUAAAGAGCUGGGUGCGGCCAUCUUUAUCUGCCGGGGAGGGGGAGCUCUCAUGGCCAGGGGGUCUCCUGGUGUUCUCGUGCCCACAGAGGGAUGGCCCUGGAUGGGAUAAGGGUUGGUAUAAUAAACCACCACUAACCCUGCCCGCAGCCAUGGCACGUCUCAUGUCUGAUCUGCCCGACCAGAGGAGGACCCUAUUCCCUAUGUAGUGCCCGACAUGUUCCCUAGGAUGGUAUUUGGAAACAUUUCCCUAUGUAGAGACCAGGGUCCUAUUCCCUAUAUAGUGCACUACUUUAGACCAGUGUCCUAUUCCCUAUAUAGUGCACUACUUUAGACCAGAACCCUAUUCCUUAAAUAGUGCACUACUUUAGACCA